rnacentral:lncRNA from 1 species
AAUAAACUACUCAAGAGCUGUCAGAGGAUGAGAAUGUAAGGCUAAAACAUAAUAAAAAUUCAACUCAAUUUCCAUAUGCAGGAGACUUACGGUGUUAAGACGAUAUCGAUCUUGUGAAUUUUUCCCAAGUCUCCGCAAAUUAAUCUCAAAUUAGUCAGUCUAUAGCCUAAAACUUUCAAGAAGAUGCAUUUUUUUAAUUUAGCAACUAAAAACCAAAAACAGAGAAAAACUGAAAAACAAAAUAAACAAAACAAAACAAAUAAAUGGUUCU